GUUUUGCUGACUUGAGAAAAGGAGAACUGAAGUGUGCUCUGAGUAUAACAAAGCUGUAGCGUUGGCGUUGAUCUCAGCACUAGUACCCACAUAACAGGAGUCGUCACUAUGACAUGGAAGAGUCUUGCCAAGGAACUUAUGGACCAUAAAACAAUGUCAUGAUGCAAGAAACAUGGAGGUAAAAGGAACUUCCUCUGAAAACUGAAGCCAACUUGCUACUGUGUAUGUCUGUAAAGGGUGCAGGUACACCAUGCAUGUGUCAUCAACAGAAUCAUUUGGCAAUAUGGAGUGGAAGGAAGAAGAAAAGCUGAUGAACUGCAAACAAUGGCUGGCUUUACAUAAAGCAGCUGAAAAUUGCACCCGAGCCAGAUACAAGCAGAUUACAUCGACGUUGCUCCUAGAAUUCCAAGCUACCCAGGGUGACCACGGUAGCUCUUGUCCGCGUUGCUGCUCUGCGGUUCUCAGUAACGCAGCAGAGCAGAGGGAAAAUUUAAUACUGGCGAGGUUAGGUUACAAUAACAAAUGAACUUUCAAAUUCUCUUAAACAAAAGAGGCUAGAUCAUUAAGAAAGACAGGCUACUUUAUUUAGUCUGAGGAUGACAUAAUUACCCAAGCCAAUAUUUCAUGUAUUAAAUGGCCCAUUAUCUUAUAUUUGGAUGAGAUUUUUUUCUUUUCAGAUGUAGGUAAUGUGGUUUUAUUAU